AUUAGUCUGUGACCACAGCUUCUUAUUUCACGCCGCCCCACAGCAGCGAUUGGAUUUCCUACCAUUUAGGACCAUGGGAAGCAAAAGAGGUUGGAAAGUUUCCUCCUGCGUGCGUCGACACACACGGUAAUGCUGCAUCUUUUUCCUUUUGGAUGUAAAUGGAGCUGUAGAUGGGGUCCUGGCUAAUAGUAAAGUAGGUGUGUGUGUGUGUGUGUGUGUGUGUGUGUGUGUGUGUGUGUGUGUGUGUGUGUGUGUGUGUACCCGUAUGUGUGAAUGUGCAUCUGUUUCUACCUGAAAGUCAUAGAAAAGCGCUGCAGAGGUUGAUGGGUCACUUUAUACCUCAGGAGAAAAUUGAGGCAGGAAGGAAGUCAUCUUCCAAGUCACCAGCAGGCCAAAUCGGAUUCCUCCCUGCAGGCGUCCAAUGGCUAUUUUCAAGACAUCUUUCCCAGAAACGACCCCUCUCAGCAGCCACAGACAGACCACACCAGCUGAAAGAUGACACACCGAACUAGAACUGGCAGAGUCCUCUCCUCAGACAUUUCCACCUACGACCAAUCUUCAACCUAUCAAUCUGGAACAACUUCACUUUCACUCUCUCCUGUUGCACCUCCUCUGGUUUAUUAUUUUGGUGGCAGGUAACCUAGUGGUUAGAGCAUUGGGCCAGUAACCGAAAGGUCGCUUGUUUGAAUCCCUGUUGACGUGCCCUGGAGAACGGUGCUUAACUCCAAUUGUUCCAGGGUCGCCGUUGAUAAUGGCGGGCUGUGACUCCACUCCAAAUGUCCAAUUCAUGCAUAUAAUACAAACUUGUACAUGUGUGAAAUAGGACAAAUAUAAGCACCAAAUUAUUAUUAUUUGAACUAUCAUACCAUUUUUAAAAGAUACUUCAAGAAUAUCUUACAAUCUGACCCUAUAGCUCUUAUAAGCAGUGAAAAAAGUGUUUGAUUUCAAUAACACCUUUGCCACCACAGACUCCUCCAUUGUCUUUAAGGAGAUGUGGGAAAUAAAUGGCAGACUCAAAGUCAUUUCGUACCGAUGAUAAGUGUGACUUUUCGGAGCCACUCGAUAGCCUGAAAAUGUACAGCGGGAGAGGUUGGCCCCUCUGAAGGAGACAAAACCAUUUGGAAGAUAUCAAUGACAGUGGUACUGAGGCGCUGGCUCCCCAUUUUGUUGCAUUCGACUUUCCGUGAAAGGGAGAAAGAAAGGGGAGACAAACGAGAAAAGAAAUCUCCUAUUGACGCCGAGCAAAUGAUUUUUUACUUCACCCUGGCUGGCUGUGACAAAAAGGG
rnacentral:lncRNA from 8 species